UACAAGCUCGAUAUGAAAUUUCACCAAAACUUUCAUAUCCGACUCUUUAGAGUCUCAUCUUAAACUAAUUAAGGCGACUUUAAAUUAUAUCAACACUUCAUUCAUAACAUAUAUGAACAAAAUAAUCAUAUUACAACUACUCAAGUUUAAUAUGAUUAUCUAGUCUCAUCCUGCUCACCACUUAGGUGCUAGGGCGAUCACCCGUGUGAGUGGGCUGAUCUGAGCCUGGUGACUUAACGAAUAUGUGCCUACUAAUAUCAAUUACGCUAUCUCAUUAAAAAGGAGAAAAACAUAUUUUCAUUAAUAAAGCAUAAGAUACAAAAUAAUGUCCAU
rnacentral:lncRNA from 1 species